rnacentral:rRNA from 1 species
AUUGAACGCUGGCGGCAUGCCUUACACAUGCAAGUCGAACGGCAGCACGGGUGCUUGCACCUGGUGGCGAGUGGCGAACGGGUGAGUAAUACAUCGGAACAUGUCCUGUAGUGGGGGAUAGCCCUGCGAAAGCCGGAUUAAUACCGCAUACGAUCUACGGAUGAAAGCGUGGGACCUUCGGGCCUCGCGCUAUAGGGUUGGCCGAUGGCUGAUUAGCUAGUUGGUGGGGUAAAGGCCUACCAAGGCGACGAUCAGUAGCUGGUCUGAGAGGAAGACCAGCCACACUGGGACUGAGACACGGCACAGACUCCUACGGGAGGCAGCAGUGGGGAAUUUUGGACAAUGGGCGAAAGCCUGAUACAGCAAUGCCGCGUGUGUGAAGAAGGCCUUCGGGUUGUAAAGCACUUUUGUCCGGAAAGAAAUCCUUGGCCCUAAUACGGUCGGGGGAUGACGGUACCGGAAGAAUAAGCACCGGCUAACUACGUG